AGAGCAAGCGCAGGAAUGUGGGAGCUCCCGUUGGACCAGAGGCAGGCGACGUCUCACUGCACAGGUGACGUCUGAGCCAAGACCGGAGGAGCCACAUCUUGUUCUGGAGAAGAAUGUUCCGGGCUGAAAACUGCAUGGACCCAGGAGACAGCCACCUGGCUGAAGGCCAUGGAUGGGAUGUACGUCCUGAUCCAGACUGGGUGCCAGGUCCUGCUGUCUCCUGCUGUGGUGCUGACAGGGACCUGGGUAAGGAGCCUCCACAGGCUUCUCCAGUGCGAAGCUACGGCCUUAUCUUGGUCACUAAUAAGUGUCUCUCGAGGCAUGUUUUAUGACGACGUGAAUGUUCUGUGAGACUCAGCCAUUCCCUAGUUUUAACACUUAUUAAUGGAUUUCAUCUGAAUCAGUUCUUAUUAAAAUAUUUGCCAAACCCUGAGUCUUCUAGACCCAGUUGUCACUGGGCUAACGUUAAGAGAGUUGCCUCCUGCCUAAUUCUCUUUUAUUUAGAUUAAUGUGAAUGCAUAGAUUCAUUUUUUUCCACACAGACAUUUAGCUGGGUGUGAAGCUGCGGGCCUGCAGUGCAGCUGCGCAGGAGCUGAGGCAGGGGCUGGCAACACAGGGAGACCCCAUCUCAAAAGAAAAAUGGGAGAAGAAAGCAGGUUUUAUUAUUGAAAAUGCACAAUGGAUUCUACAGUAAACACAAGUGUUUAGUAGUCAGAGUCGUGAAACUAUCACUACAAUUUAAUUUCAACAUUUUUGUCACCCCUGAAAGAAAUCUUGUACCCAUUAGCAGUCAUCCUUGUUCCCCCUUCCCAGUAUUCCUUCCCUUACCUAUACCUCCAGCUAUAAGUAAGCCAUCUCUUGCUAAAAAAAAGAAAAGAAACUGCACAUAAGUGUAUGAUUUAAAAAAUAAUUACAAAGGGGGCUGAAUCUGAGUGAAGUAGUACACACCUAUAAUUCCAGCAACUCAGAAGGCUGAGACAGGAGGAUCGCAAGUUAGAGGCCACUAUCAGCAACUUUGCAAGACUCUUGUCUCAAAAUAAAAAGGGGUAGGGUUAUAGGACCUGGGGAUAUAGCUUAAUGAUGUAAUGGUUGCUCAGCACAAAGCUGUGCGUUCCAUCCCCAGUACUGACAAAAGGAAAAAAAAAAUUCUUCCCAAAGAUUCCUAAACUUCAGAUGUUGUGCUUUGAAACCACAGCGAGAUGCACCUUCCAUUGGGUGUGGGGGUGAUUCUUCCUCCGUCACAUGCUCGCCACCUUGGGACUUUUUACUUUUUUUUUGGUGUGGGGAUUGAACCCAGGGCCUUGUGCAUAUGAGGCAAGCCCUCUACCACCUGAGCCAUACCCCCAGCCCCACUUUUGGACUUCUGACAUAACCAGUGGUUGUGCACAGUGGCACAUGCCUAUAAUCCAGCAACUUGGGAGGCUGAAUCAGGAGCAUUGUUGAUCGGAGACAAACCUCAGCAACUUAGUGGGACCCUGUCUCUAAAUAGAAGAAUAUAAAGGAGCAGAUCUGUGGCUCAGUGGUAGAGUGCCCCUGCAUUCAGUGCCCAGGACCACGAAAAAAGAGAAAGUACUAAUCUUUUAGAAAUGAAUGGAGCUGAUGGAGGCAGGUUGUUUUUUUUUUUUUUUUUUUGGUACUGGGGAUUGACCCCAUGGAUGCUCUACAACCGAGCUGUACUCUCAGCCCUUCUUAUUUUUUAUUUUGAGAUAGGGAGGAGGAUAGUAAGUUUGAGGCCAGUCUGACAAUUUGGUGAGACCCUGUCUCAAAAAUAAAGUUAAAACACAGGCAGGAGACAGAUGUAGCUCUUUGGUAGAGCUCUUGCCUAGUACAUGCGUGUGAGACCCUGGGCUCAAUCCCCAGCAACCUGGUCUCUGCACUUAGUCUUGGCUGCCUAAAGGUGGGGGCAGCAGUCCUUCCUCUCAGUUGACCGUGGAAGUUAGAACCCAGAUCAGGCCCCAGAUGUGCUCACGGCUACUGGGUGGUCCUCUCUGGACCCUCUUAGUAAAGAGGAGACCCCCACGUUUACACACCACACCAGUUACUACCCAGAACCAGCUGGAAAGAUGGUUCUGGGGGGCUUACAUGACUCCUUCAGGUCCAAACCUAGCCAGGGUUCCUUCACCCUCUGGAUCCCAGGGGAGCCUGGACACACCCUGCACUUUCCCUAGCUUCCAGCUGACCAGCAGCUGAGCAAAGCUUCAUGGAUCCCACACUGGCUUUGCUCUAGAUGUCACCUAUGACGUGUGGCUUAUGAUGAUAAUGGUGACCUUGGUGACUCUCCAGGGCCUUCGCUGUGUCUUCACAUCUGUCUCCUCUGCUGUCUUGUCUCUAGGCAGGUCUCUGCUUGGCUCUGCAUACAGCAUAUUAAUCACUGACGGCAUAUUUUGUCCAGAACAAUACCGGUUGUUUUGACCUGAACUUUCCCAAUCUCUCUCCUCCCUUUAAGGGCCGAAGACACCCAGAUAACAACUUCCUGUCAGGCCACCGGGGCAGCAGCUGGAAGUCUCCAGCCGAGUUCUUCCCUGCCUGGUGCCCCUGCUCCUCUCCCGUCCAGCCUUUUGUGUGCCUCAGUGCACUAAGAUGGCCUUGAUGGCCGUAGCCCCAUCCUCUGGGAUUCUGGCUUUCCUAAGAAGUCUUCCUCCUAGCCCUGGCUUCUCCUGGAGUCAGUAAGGGCACUGGGUUUGGUAACUGCCACUUGUCCACUUCAGCUCAUGCUGUCCGGCCCAGCACCCGCUUGCUCAAUCUCAUAAUGUGCAGGGUCAGUGUUGGACUGGAACUCGUGCCUCUGGGUAAAACAUUACCAUUGAUGAGAGUCAGCUUUGCGUCAUGAUCUGUGUCUUUAGCUGAAGGCACAAGGUCCAAGUGUUGCCAUCAAAGGCCCCAGGAGCAGGGCACUCGCCUCCUCAGCGAGGUUCGUUUGUUUGUGUUCGGCUUUGGGGUCCCUGCUCCUUCACCUCUUUUGUUUUUACAAGCCUGUGAAUCGUUACCAUCAUUCCAAAAGCUAGACAUGCGCGGGAAAUGCUGUGCCGUGCGCUCCACCCAUCUCCUGGACUCUGGCUCAUCCUGCUGGGGCUUUGCACGCUCGGGAGCAGGCUUGUGUCUGUGAGAAUCGCCUGUGUGGGGGAAAGGGCUGCCUGUGUCCACUGCUUUAGCAGGUGGCCUUGCUCCAGGCUGGUGAGCAGCAUUUGGAAGGCAGAGGGCUGCAGUGUGAGGUCUGCCCAGAAAGGCCAGGAGAUGGUGUGCAGGACUACACAUGUGGAGUCCCAGCAGCUGGGCACCAAGGGGCAGAGGUGCCCAGUAGCCACCAGGUAAACUAGUUGGUCAUUCAGAGAGGAGCCUGAAUUUGGAAGGAGUCAGUUAACUGGUGCUACCUGUAGGGUUGGGGUUGUAAAGUGAGAGGCCAGAAAACAUUCACUUCCUGGAGUGUCGGGGACCACUGUGGCCAGGCAGGCCGAGUGGAGGGCAUGCUCAGGGAAAAGGGCGUUCCAGCCGGCCAGGCCCUGCCAGGACCCAGGUGGGAGGAGCGCUUGGCGGGACGCUGGAUUUGAUGGUGGGGGCAGCCGUGGCCAGUGUGGUUUCUGUGGCUCAAUGGGGUGGAAAUCUCAGAGAGGGUUGAGGAGCGGGCAGGUCAGAAGAUGAGGAAAUGUGGCCCCCACGACCCUAGCCACUUCCCUUUGUCACAAAAGGGGAUGCAGAAAUGAGACCAGGGCUAGAGGAAGGCGAGGCUCAAGGGACAGUGGGUGCAGGAGGGGUACCACGUUCUCACCAGGGGAGCCUCCAGCGACAGGGAAGGCCAGAGGGGCAGAGUCCUCUGGCAAGUGCAGGGACAGGGGCCUGGGGAGGCCCUUCUGUGGUGGAUCCCAUGGAGCCACUGGCCCUCACAAGGACUUCCCAGCCACCAGGAUUGUGGCCAAACACAUCUAUUAAUUUGUUUUAAGAUGGGGAGUAUGUUGUCCAGGCUGGUCUCGAAUCCUUGAGACAAGUGGUCCUCCUGCCUCAGCCUCCUAAGAAGCUGGGACUAUGGGCACAUGCCACCAAGUCUGGGUUAAACCUCUUAUAAAGUGCCUAGUCCCAGCUAUUUUGUUGAACACAAAAAACAGACUCAGCCACUGACCAUUUUCGACCUACAACAAAAGGACACUUCACAGGAUCCCAGUUCCCUGAGCAGUGUCCACCAGCCAGUACAGGCAGUGCCUCCACGUUGAAGCUUUGCUGUUGAGGUUGGUAUGUGCUCUUCCAGGGUGCUCCCGCCCAGGGAAGCGCACUGCAGACACGGCACUUCUGAGCCAGACUGCUGUCUGUCCUGAGACGAGGGUCCCCACUGGGGACGAGGGAUGGGUCCCCUCCUCCAGUGCCCUCACCACUUAGAAACCACCCCCUUGGACAGGCCCACAGUCCUGCCAUGCUCUGAAUGCUGAAAGGGCCAUGUGGACUUGCAGCGGCUCUGGAUUUUUUUGUCCUGCUGUCCUUGGUACAGGGAAGACUGCCACCUGGCUGGUCUCAGGAUUACUUGAUUGAGAUAUGGUGGGAAAAAAAAAUGAUUCAAAGACUUCAAACUUCCACUUUUUUGAACAUUGAAGAGGGGAAAGGCAAUUUCAGCUUUGGAGUUUGUUCUCUUAGGAACCCGACAGUGAGGAGGGCCGCAUUUUCAAUCUCAGGCAGUUUUAGAAGGCCGGCUCACUUUGGCUGUCAUUAGCUCACUGGGGCGUGGCUCAAAACCUUCUAGGAGUAGAAGUCAACUGCUAAUCCAGAGAACCAGGAGGAUCACCGAGGAGUAUUGGUGGGUACUAGGGAUGUGGCUUUAUGGAUGAUGGGACUUUUCCUUAGCAGAGGCCUACCCUGAGUGACCACCUUCUUAGCCCAGUGGGCAGAGAGGACACUGAGGAAUACUGGGUUACUGUGUUCCCAGGAGACGACAUCCACAGUACCGCACCUGGCCUCUCAGCCCCAUCUUUCCUAGGACGAUUCUUUCCUGAAUUGUCUGAAUGUGUGGUGACAAGGCCCUGACUCUGCGUGUCACUUUUCUGGGCUGCAGGACACUACCUGUUUAAAAGGUUCACACCCUGGGGACCUAGUCUUUCAUCCCUUUCCCAGCCUCACAACAGGCAGCCGUCGUCGUGACAGCGCACACUCCGCAGACCCAUGUCCUCCUUCAGGUGGGCUGUCCCAAGGCCAACACGUGCAUGGGGGUGGUCUUACAAGUUUGUUGGCCUUAAAACCUGAAUUAUUUCUUUAAUCAGUGCCAUCAGUAAUAAAAGUUGAUGAAAGUGAAAAACAAAUCUACGCAGGUGAAACUCCUUGGAGGCAUCUCAGUCCUCUCGUCUUUGCCUGACUGACCAUCAGUCCUGCUGGCCCACAUCCUGUUUGUCCACAGCACACAGAUAAAGGGAAGACCAAGAGAACCCAGAGUCUCCGUGGUCAGUGAUUUAGCACACAGAGCCCUGUAGUUCAGUGAGGAAAGUGGCCACAUGCAGUGACCCUGAUGGAGCAGCUGACCUGAACGCAGGAAAAAUCAAUCUCACACAAACACAAGAAAUGACUGGAGAUAAUCAGACUUGAACACAGAAAAAAAAAAAAAAAGAAAA